GACGAACGCUGGCGGCGUGCUUAACACAUGCAAGUCGAACGAUGAAGAAGCCAGCUUGCUCUUGGUGGAUUAGUGGCGAACGGGUGAGUAACACGUGAGUGAUCUGCCCUGGACUUCGGGAUAGCCCACUGAAAGGUGGAUUAAUACCGGAUAGGACUGGCUCCUGCAUGGGGGUUGGUGGAAAGCCUUUAGGGGUGGUUUGGGAUGUGCUCGCGGCCUAUCAGCUUGACGGUGGGGUAAUGGCUUACCGUGGCUUUGACGGGUAGCCGGCCUGAGAGGGUGACCGGCCACACUGGGACUGAGACACGGCCCAGACUCCUACGGGAGGCAGCAGUGGGGAAUAUUGGACAAUGGGCGGAAGCCUGAUCCAGCAACGCCGCGUGAGGGAUGACGGCCUUCGGGUUGUAAACCUCUUUCGACAUUGACGAAGCCCCUUUUUGGGGUGACGGUAGGUGUAGAAGAAGGACCGGCCAACUACGUGCCAGCAGCCGCAGUAAAAC
rnacentral:rRNA from 1 species